rnacentral:rRNA from 1 species
GUCUUUUUGUUUAUAAUUUAAAGUCUAACCUGCCCAAUGAGUAAUUAAAUGGCCGCAGUAUUUUGACUGUGCAAAGGUAGCAUAAUCAUUAGUUUCUUAAUUAGAAGCUGGUAUGAAAGGUUGAACGAGAAAAUAACUGUCUCUUUAUAAUUUUUUUUGAAUUUUAUUUUUAAGUUAAAAAGCUUAAAUAUAUUUAAAAGACGAGAAGACCCUAUAGAGUUUUAUAUAAAAAAAGUUAGUAAUAGAUUUUGUAUUAGUUAAGUUUUAAAAUUUUUUAUAUUUAGUUGGGGUGAUAGGAAAAUUUAAGUAACUUUUUUUAUAUAAAAACAUUUAUUUAUGAAUUUUUGAUCCAUUAUUUAUGAUUAAAAGAUUAAAUUACCUUAGGGAUAACAGCGUAAUUUCUUUGUAGAGUUCUAAUCGAUAAAGAAGUUUGCGACCUCGAUGUUGGAUUAAAAUAUAAAUUUGGUGUAGAAGCUGAGUGUUUAGGUCUGUUCGACCUUUAAUAUUUUACAUGAUCUGAGUUUAAACCGGUGUAAGCCAGGUUGGUUUCUAUCUUUAAAAUGUGAAAAAUAUUUUAGUACGAAAGGACCAAAUAUUUAUAAUAUUUAUUUUUAUAAGGAUAUUAAU